rnacentral:rRNA from 1 species
GGAGGAGAGACUUUUAUUAUCCGGGGUGUGGGGGGUAAAGCCUCCACAAGCCAAAGCCAUUUAGGUGGUUUGGAGGGAUAUUCACCCCCCGGGGAAUGAGACCCGGUUCAGUUCUCUGGGGGAGGCACCAGUGGGAAUUUUCCCAAAGGGAAGAAUCUUGGAUCCACCACCCCGGGGGGAGAAAAACCAUUUGGGUGGUAAACUCCUUUUUAUAUAGGAAGAUAAGGCGGUACUAUAUGAAUAAGCCCGGGUUAAUUCCGUGCCAGCAGCCGCGGUAAUACGGAGGGUGCAAGCGUUACUCGGAAUCACUGGGCGUAAAGCGCAUGCAGGCGGGUUAAUAAGUUGGAAGUGAAAUCCUAUGGCUCAACCAUAGAACUGCUUCCAAAACUGUUAGUCUAGAGUCUGGGAGGGGAAGAUGGAAUUAGUUGUGUAGGGGUAAAAUCCGUAGAGAUAACUAGGAAUACCAAAAGCGAAGGCGAUCUUCUGGAACAGUACUGACGCUGAGAUGCGAAAGCGUGGGGAGCAAACAGGAUUAGAUACCCUGGUAGUCCACGCAGUAAACGAUGAAUGUUAGUCGUCGGGUUGCAAGUCAAUUCGGUGAUGCAGUUAACACAUUAAACAUUCCGCCUGGGGAGUACGGUCGCAAGAUUAAAACUCAAAGGAAUAGACGGGGACCCGCACAAGUGGUGGAGCAUGUGGUUUAAUUCGAAGAUACGCGAAGAACCUUACCUAGCCUUGACAUUGAUAGAAUCUUCCAGAGAUGGAGGAGUGCCUUUCGGGGAGCUUGAAAACAGGUGCUGCACGGCUGUCGUCAGCUCGUGUCGUGAGAUGUUGGGUUAAGUCCCGCAACGAGCGCAACCCUCGUCACUAGUUACUAACAGUUAGGCUGAGGACUCUAGUGAGACUGCCUUCGUAAGGAGGAGGAAGGUGAGGACGACGUCAAGUCAUCAUGGCCCUUACGGCUAGGGCGACACACGUGCUACAAUGGUUAGGACAAUGAGAGGCGAUACCGCGAGGUGGAGCAAAUCUAUAAACCUAAUCUCAGUUCGGAUUGUAGUCUGCAACUCGACUACAUGAAGCUGGAAUCGCUAGUAAUCGUAGAUCAGCCAUGCUACGGUGAAUACGUUCCCGGGUCUUGUACUCACCGCCCGUCACACCAUGGGAGUUGAUUUCACCCGAAGCGGGGAAGCUAAACUGGCUACCCUCCACGGUGGAAUUAGCGACUGGGGUGAAGUCGUAACAAGGUACC